rnacentral:rRNA from 1 species
GACGUAGGGGGCCAGCGUUGUUCGGAAUUACUGGGUGUAAAGGGUUCGUAGGCGGUGUGGCAAGUCGGGAGUGAAAUCUCUGGGCUCAACCCAGAGUCUGCUUCCGAAACUGCUGUGCUUGAGUGUGGGAGAGGCGCGUGGAAUUGCAGGUGUAGCGGUGAAAUGCGUAGAUAUCAGGAGGAACACCGGUGGCGAAGGCGGAUCUCUGGGCCGUAACUGACGCUGAGGAGCGAAAGCAUGGGGAGCGAACAGG